GCGCCCGUAGCUUAAAGGAUAGAGUGGCGGCUUGCGGAGCCGUUGAUGCCAGUUCGAUUCUGGCCGGGCGCACAA
rnacentral:tRNA from 1 species